CAAAAUGUAGCUUAACAUAAAGCGUUUGACUUACACUCAAAAAAUGUCGUUUACCGACCGUUUUGA
rnacentral:tRNA from 1 species